AUGGGUUCACCAGUCUUGUUCCACUUCCUUCUACUCUCUUUGGCAUUUUCCUUCCCACUUUCAUCUUCAUCCGUCGUUAUGAGUAAAGGCACAUCCCUAUCCGUAGAGAAACCAGAAAUUCUAACAUCCCAAAUGGCGUCUUUUCUGCUGGCUUCUAUUCCGUGGGUGAAAAUGCCUUUUGCUUUGCCAUUUGGUUUAGCAACUCACGCACCGUAGUUUGGAUGGCAAACCGUGACCACCCAGUUAAUGGAAAGCACUGAAAGCUCUCUCUCCUCAAUAGUGGCAAUCUCAUCUUAACUGAUGCCACUAAGUCAAAUGUCACCGUUUGGGCCACAGGCACCGCCUCGCCCCACUUAGUCCAAUUAUUUCUCUACAACACAGGUAAUCUUGAUCUACUUAACAAGGACGAUGUUAAUUUGUGGGAAAGCUUUGACUUCCCUACAGACACCCUUCUUCCUCAACAACUACUCACUGGAAAAACAAAGCUCGUCUCCUCAAGAAGCCAGACCAACUUUUCCUCUGGUUUUUAUAAGCUUUCCAAGUCCAACAGAUAUGAUAACAUUUUUAGCCUUUUUUUAAAUUGUCCUGAUGUCUGUAGUGUUUAUUGGUCAUGCCUUGUGUUUAACAACAGUAGAAUUGGUGUCCUUAAUUCCUUAGGGAACUUCAAUUCAUCCGAUGAUUUUACUUUUAUGUCGGCCGACAAUGGAGUAGUGCUUCAUAGAAGAUUGACACUUGAUUAUGAUGGUAAUAUUCGAUUAUACAGUUGGGAAGAGAAGGGGCAGACUUGGGUUGUUUCAUGGCAAGCCAUUCAGAGACCUUGCUGGAUUGAUGGUGCCUGUGGGGCCAACAGUUUGUGCAAUUAUGUUACUGGUUCUGGCAGGAAAUGUUCCUGCCCUCCUGGAUACAAGAUGAAAAUUCGUAGAGACUGGGCUUAUGGUUGUGAACCUGAAGUUGAUCUCUCUUGCAACAGAAGUGAGCCAGGCUUUCUGCAAUUAUCCCAUGCUGACUUCUACGGGUAUGAUGUUAAUAUCUCCCGUAAUUACACAUUUGAUCAAUGUAGGGAUUUAUGUUUGGCAGAAUGUGAUUGCAAAGCGUUCCAAUACAACUUUGACGAGUAUGUUGGUUUUUCAAUUUGUUAUGCUAAGAUACGAUUGUUGAAUGGAUACCUUUUGCCAGAUUUAAAUGGAAACAUCUACUUGAAACUGCCAAAAAGCAAAAUCUUGUCCCAUACCAAUCCUCCAGAAGAAUUCAGUUUAAAUUGCUCAAGUAAAGGUACUCUACAAAGCAGUAAAUACUAUGAAAACGAAACAGUAAAAUUCCUGUUAUGGUUUGCUAUUGGGGUGGGUGGACUUGAAAUCAUCUGUAUCUUUGUGGUGUGGUGUCUCUUGACCAGAACCCAAAAAAUUUUAGAUGUUGACAAGCAAGGCUAUGUUAUUGCUGCCAUUGGAUUCAAAAAAUUUACUUACGCUGAAUUAAAAAAGGCCACACAAGGUUUUGCUAAGGAGAUUGGAAGAGGUGCAGGGAGAAUUGUAUACAAAGAGGUGUUGUCCGACAAUCAAGUUGCAGCAAUCAAACAUCUCAAUGAAGCUAAUCAAGGAGAGAGUGAAUUUCUAGCGGAAGUAAGCAUCAUUGGAAAGAUUAACCACAUGAACUUAAUAGAGAUGUGGGGGUAUUGCGCAGAAGGAAAGCACAGACUCUUGGUGUACCAGUAUAUGGAGCAUGGUUCUUUGGCAGAUAACCUCUCAGCCAAUACACUUGACUAGGAGAAAAGAUUCGAAA